CAUCCCACAAUGCUCCGCGCCGCUCCCUGCAGGAGCUGCAGUGACGCUACGAAGGGCGGGCACUUCUUCCGCCCCUCACUGGCGCGGGCAGGACAAGGCUCCGGCCGGGCCCGGCUCGUAAUGCGGUCCGCGGGGAACCUGCUGCCGGGAACGUUGGUUCCGCUGCCAGGGGCGGAGGCCGGCUCGGGGGCCUUGCACUACGGGCUCCUGCAGCCCGCGCAUCACCCCCGAGCCCUGCCCCCGCCCUGAAGCUGCGGACUUGGCUCUGGGCAGAGCCGCCAUUGCCAAACUGUCAGCGUUUUGAAGGGGCUCUGGAAUACGAUACUAGCAAAAGGGGACACUUGAAAAUGAUGUGCAGGAGAAGAAACAGGAAGGUACCAGAGCUCCAUGACUGUCAGGUUGGCCCAAUGAGCAUGUCAGGGAGGAUAGCCAAGCUGAGGAAGCACCUACAGCCACAUUGGACCCCUCCUUCCAGAACCAGCUGCAAUGUGCUGCACUCCCGUUCCUUGGAGGUACAUUUUGCAACAAAUGUGUGACCACCUACUGGUUUAAGGCUGUUGCCAUAGCUACUCCCUCCUCCACCAUGACAGCAAGAAUAGAACUUGGACCUCCUUUUUCAGAAGUACCAGCCUCCUACCACCUGCACUGAAGGUGAGUUCUCUGUGCAGUGUGAGGACUAUGACAAAUCACUGAGUAGUUAUGAUUUCAUCCUUUAGACGCU